UGGUAGCACAGAACUAACCCUAAUAUGGUA
rnacentral:piRNA from 1 species